CCUACGGGAGGCAGCAGUGGGGAAUAUUGGACAAUGGGCGCAAGCCUGAUCCAGCAAUGCCGCGUGAGUGAUGAAGGCCUUAGGGUCGUAAAGCUCUUUUACCAGGGAUGAUAAUGACAGUACCUGGAGAAUAAGCUCCGGCUAACUCCGUGCCAGCAGCCGCGGUAAUACGGAGGGAGCUAGCGUUGUUCGGAAUUACUGGGCGUAAAGCGUACGUAGGCGGUUAUUCAAGUCAGAGGUGAAAGCCCGGGGCUCAACCCCGGAACGGCCUUUGAAACUAGGUAGCUAGAAUCUUGGAGAGGUCAGUGGAAUUCCGAGUGUAGAGGUGAAAUUCGUAGAUAUUCGGAAGAACACCAGUGGCGAAGGCGACUGACUGGACAAGUAUUGACGCUGAGGUACGAAAGCGUGGGGAGCAAACAGGAUUAGAUACCCUGGUAGUCCACGCCGUAAACGAUGAUAACUAGCUGUCCGGGCACUUGGUGCCUGGGUGGCGCAGCUACGACAUUAAGUUAUUCCGUCCGUCGGGUAGGUACGGUCGCGAGAAUUAAACUAACAAAGGAAAGUUAGUACGGCGUGAGACGUGCCGACGGACGACGACGAGGGAGGUAGG
rnacentral:rRNA from 1 species